UACGUAGGGUGCGAGCGUUAAUCGGAAUUACUGGGCGUAAAGCGUACGUAGGCGGCUUGUUAAGCAAGAUGUGAAAUCCCCGGGCUCAACCUAGGAAUUGCGCUUGUGACUGGCGGGCUCGAGUACGGUAGAGGGGGGUGGAAUUCCUGGUGUAGCAGUGAAAUGCGUAGAGAUCAGGAGGAACACCGAUGGCGAAGGCAGCCCCCUGGGCCUGUACUGACGCUCAUGCACGAAAGCGUGGGGAGCAAACAGG
rnacentral:rRNA from 1 species